CGGCACUCACAAGCCCGCAUAGCACCACAGCGUCCGUCUUGUCCCACGUCCAAAGCAUCCUGAAACACACCUUGAUAUGAUCCCAGGACGCACAACCAUCCACCUAGUCCUCCCGUCACUACUACUCGGCAGUCAAGCACCAAACGUUUCAAGUGAAAAAUACCUGGAGAGGUGUUAAGUAAUGGAUGUGUGAAAUGCCAGCUAUUUCAGAAAAAGGUGAGGGUUUUUAGCAAGUUUUGUAAUAUGAGUAGCUUAUGUUGAGAGAGAGAGAGAGAGAGAGAGAGAGAGAGAGAGAGAGAGAGAGAGAGAGAGAGAGAGAGAGAGAGAGAGAGAGAGAGAGAGAGAGAGAGAGAGAGAGAGAGAGAGAGAGAGAGAGA